AAAAAGAGGGAGCUUGCAUAGCCAAUAGGAGUCUUCCACGGGUGUUGGCGAUGAUGCAACCGAGGCAAGGGAACUGUUGAUGCAAGGUUAAAAUGCCGAGACUGUUAGUUGCAGCUUCUGCAACUUAGCCGUGUCUUAUGUGGUAGAAAAUGUGGCCAUGCACACGGAUAAAAUUGUGCGGUCUAUGGAUUGUCGUAGAGUAGUCUAUAUAAAUGCAAGGACGAGAGUAGCAUUGUUGUUGUAAAGCGAAGCCCUGCCAAUGAAAGAAAAUGUAUUCAAAAAGCUCCACCUGCUAUGUAAAAUCUCAGUUAGCUACUUUUUCGUCA
rnacentral:lncRNA from 1 species